rnacentral:rRNA from 1 species
UACGUAGGCAGCAAGCGUUGUUCGGAGUUACUGGACGUAAAGAGUGCAUAGGCGGUCCUGUAAGUUUGGUGUGAAAUCUCCCGGCUCAACUGGGAGGGUGCGCCGAAGACUGCAGGGCUUGAGUAUGGGAGAGGUAAGCGGAAUUCCUGGUGUAGCGGUGAAAUGCGUAGAUAUCAGGAGGAACACCUAUGGCGAAGGCAGCUCGCUGGGACGGUACUGACGCUGAGACGCGAAAGCGUGGGGAGCGAACAGG